AACGAACGCUGGCGGCAGGCCUAACACAUGCAAGUCGAGCGAACCCUUCGGGGUUAGCGGCGGACGGGUUAGUAACGCGUGGGAAUAUACCCUUUGGUACGGAAUAGCCUCGGGAAACUGAGAGUAAUACCGUAUGUGCCCUUCGGGGGAAAGAUUUAUCGCCAAAGGAUUAGCCCGCGUUGGAUUAGAUAGUUGGUGGGGUAAUGGCCCACCAAGUCUACGAUCCAUAGCUGGUUUGAGAGGAUGAUCAGCAACACUGGGACUGAGACACGGCCCAGACUCCUACGGGAGGCAGCAGUGGGGAAUCUUAGACAAUGGGCGCAAGCCUGAUCUAGCCAUGCCGCGUGGACGAUGAAGGCCUUAGGGUUGUAAAGUCCUUUCAGAUGGGAAGAUAAUGACGGUACCAUCAGAAGAAGCCCCGGCUAACUCCGUG
rnacentral:rRNA from 1 species